UUUGGGCCCCAGAUCCGUUUACCGUGAAAAAAUUAGAGUGUUCAAAGCAGGCAGAUUUCAAUUUUCUGGCCCCCCGAAUACAUUUAGCAUGGGAUAAUGGAAUAGGACCCUGUCCUCCUAUUUUCAGUUGGUUUUGGCAGCGCGAGGACUAGGGUAAUGAUUAAUAGGGAUAGUUGGGGGCAUUUAAUAUUUAAUUGUCAGAGGUGAAAUUUUCUGGAAUUUAUGAAAGAUUAACUUUUGCGAAGGCAUCUGCCAAGGAUGUUUUCAUUAAUCAAGAACGAAAGUUAGGGGAUCGAAGACGAUCAGAUACCGUCGUAGUCUUAACCAUAAACGAUGCCGACCAGCGAUUAGGAGACGUUGAAUACAAAACACCACCAUCGGCGCGGUCGUCCUUGGCGCGUUCGUGUUCACGCACGGGCGCGCGAGGGCGGCUAGCCCGGUGGCACCGGUGAA
rnacentral:rRNA from 1 species